UAUCCGUAGGUGAACCUGCGGAAGGAUCAUUAUCGUACAAAAUGUGAGGGGCAUCCGAGGGCUGUCGCUCACCCAAAAGUCGUGCACGCCCGAGUUUGUCCUCUUGCAUAAUAAUCCAUCUCACCCUUUGCUCGUCACCGCGUUGGCACCCUUCGGGGUCGUCUCGGAGGGGGGCACGCGGUUUCACGCGAACCCCCCUCUUAAAACUAUACAAUGAUCAAAUUUAUGCGAUCAAUACAACUUACAACAGCGGAUCUCUUGUCUCUCGCAUCGAUUAAG
rnacentral:misc_RNA from 1 species